AAUGAAAAGAUAUCAAAAGAUACUAUGAUUAAAAUAUUUUAAAAAUUAUAUUUAUUAUUAGUCUGAAUUAAAAUAUAGUAUGAAUUUCUAUGAGUAGGUCCAUUAGGUCCAUUUUUUAAAAAAUCACACAUGAAUCAAAGUUGUGACUUCUGUUUUAAUAUAUAAGAUUCAGUAAAAAUUGUUUUCACCUAAUAUUUUAUUCUAAAAUGCCUAUCCAGUCACAGCCGGAGAGAAUUUUUGUCUUUGCUAAACACAGCCAAAGAUAGUUAAAGACUAAUGCUAACAUUAAUGUUUAGUUUGACUAUUUUUAACCAAAACAUGCAAAUAAUGUACAACUAAUUGAACGUUGUUUCACGUGUUGCCUCCAUCCGAAGAACAAAUUAAGUUUAAACAACUUAAAUCCUGGAUUUAUAGUACUAUUUCGUAAUACUUCCUUCAUUUCGAACAUACAUAUUGAGAAAAUAAUUGAAAUGCAUUUAAGUUUUUAUUAAUUAUUUAUAUUCAAUCAAUAAUAUUUGAAAUAAAUAAAAUUAUUUAUAAACUUAAUGCAUUUAUAAUUAGUAUUAAGCUGAAAGUUGCAUUGGAAUUUUAAAACGAAAUUUUUUAUGUAACAUUUUUUUUUAAAUGACACUUUUUAGAGAGUAGUUCGUAAAUUAUGAAAACUGUAUCUACAGUGGAGCUUAAAUCUCCAGCACUUAGACCACCUCCAUCGACAACUCUAAACAAAGGUUCUAAACAAAAGAUAGAAAAAAAUAAAUGAAAAAGAAAAAAAAAGCAUAGAACCGGUGUUUAAUAUGGGAUUUUUAGAACUGGUAAGCACCCCUUACGUCUCCCUUUGGUAUUGGAUAAUCCAUUUUAGAGUCUCUCUCUCCUUCAUCGACGUCAACGUUUUGAUCCCAAAAUCAAUUUUUGUCUUCCUCCUCCAAUUUCAAUCACUCGAUCUUCUCUCUAUCCAAUUUUUGAUAUAAGAUCCAUAGAUCUGUCGAUCUAGUUAGGGUUUCGAUAGAUGUUCGUUAUAUUCGAGAGUGUUCGAUUUCCUCGUUUGAUUCCUCUGUAGAGGAUCUUGAACGUUCGUUUGAUUAUCGAGAUCGUUCGUUUGAUUCAAGAGCGGUAAUUAUUUUUCAGGUUUCUAUUGAGGGAGAAACGAGUUAUAAUCAUUUGGAUCUCGUAUCCGCCUUGAUUCUCCCAUUACCACCAGAAGCUUAUCUUCUCAAGGUCCUGCUCCUAUCAAUUACAGAAAGCUAAAGUGAUACUUAUAAUGAAACAGAGGGAGAGUAUAAGAUAUCAUUGGUCAUGCAUCAGGCCGGAAAAACAUUCGCAUAUACCCUCAAUUUUUUUUUAAAUAAUAUAUGUUAUGGGUUUUAAAUUAUCAAAAGAAAGUUGUUGUUAAAAUUUAUCUUAAAAUAUUUAUGGCUCUUAAAUCUCAGAGUCGGUUUUGACAUUAUGUAUAUACAUUUUGGUAGGGGGCGAUUUAUUUGAAAGAAUAUAACAUUCCACCAAUAGCUUGAUCAAUAAUUAAUGUUGAAAGUGUGACUUAUGGGACAAAUUAAACCAUAUGUAUUGUUCCCAAUUUUAUAUUCAUUAUGAUGUAGAUUUUUUUUAACACCAUUCAUUAUGAUUUAGACAAUCGUCAAAAUCAGUUACUGCAUAAGCAGCAACACCAACAAUGAUAAUAAGGAAAAUCCAAAUUUAAACAAUAUUUGAAAAUAAACGCCGGUUAAUAACCAAAUAUACUUCAAUUCAUCACCCGCCUCUAUUAAGUUUCAGACAAAUAAAUUAAAUAAAGAUCGAGAUGCUAUGUAGUAGUUACAACGUUCCUUUUCCAUCCAUUAGGAUUGAUUUUAGUGUACGUAAUUACUUGUUUAGUUUUUUUUACCAAAAAAAUCUCUUAAUUAUUUAAUAUUCUCUUCAUUUUAAACAAAUGAUGUUUU